CACCAGCAGCCGCAGCAGCAGAUAUAAGACCCGCCCACCGACUCUAUACACGAUGUGAUUGGCCUCACCAGAAUUUCUUUUUUCCAGCUCGCAAGCCAACGGAGAGUUGCUCGACUGACCCUGGCUGCA